rnacentral:rRNA from 1 species
CCCGAUUGAUUCUGUCGGCGGUUAUAUGCUUAUCUCAAAGGCUAAGCCAUGCAUGUUCUAAGUUCAAAUGGCCUAUAAAGGUGAAACCGCGAACGGCUCAUUACAACAGCUAUUAUUAUACUUGAUCUUGAUAUCCUACGUGGAUUAACUGUGGUAAUUCUAGAGCUAAUACAUGCACCAAAGCUCCGAUUUUCUGACGAGCGCAUCUAUUAGAUUAAAACCAAUCAGGGUUUCGGCCCCGUUAAUUGGUGACUCUGAAUAACUAUAGCUGAUCGCAUUGGUCUCGAACCGGCGACGUGUCUAUCAAGUUCUGCCUUAUCAACUGUCGAUGGUAGUUUAUGUGCCUACCAUGGUUGUAACGGGUAACGGAGAAUAAGGGUUCGACUCCGGAGAGGGAGCCUGAGAAAUGGCUACCACAUCCAAGGAAGGCAGCAGGCGCGCAAAUUACCCACUCUCGGCAUGAGGAGGUAUAGUGACGAAAAAAUAAACGAGACCGUUCUCUAUGAGGCCGGUUAUCGAAUGGGUACAAUUUAAACCCGUUAACGAGGAACUAUGAGAGGGCAAGUCUGGUGCCAGCAGCCGCCGGUAAUUCCAGCUCUCAAAGUGUAUAUCGUCAUUGCUGCUGCGGUUAAAAAGCUCGGUAGUUGGAUCUGCCGCCUCAGGAUCUGGUCCGCCCACUGGGGCGAAGAACUGGGCUCCUGGGCUAGUUCUGCUGGUUUUCCCUACGUUGCACUUCAUCGGUCGCGUAGGGUGGCCUAGCGAGUAUUCUUUGAAAAAAAUUACGAGUGCUUAACGCGGGCUUAUGUUCUGAAUACUCGUGCAUGGAAUAAUAGAAUGGAUCUCGGUUUCUAUUUUUGUUGGUUUUCUGAUCUGAGAUAAUGGUUAAGAGGGACGGACGGGAGGGCAAUUCGUAUCGCUGCUGCGUGAGAGAGUGAAAUUCUUGGGACCGUAGCGAGGACGUCGACUUGCGAAAGCAUUUGCAAAGAAUGUCUUCAUUAAUCAGAACGAAAGUCAGUAGGUUCGAAGGCGAUCAGAUACCGCCCUAGUUCUGACCGUAAACAGAUACCAACUAGCGUUCCGUCGGCGGUAAAUAUGCCUUUGACGGGUAGCUCUCCCGGAAACGAAAGUCUUUCGCGUUCGGGGGAAGUAUGGUUGCAAAGCUGAAAUCUAUAAAGAAAUUGACGGUCAAGGGCACCACCAGGGAGUGGAGCCUGCGGCUUACAUUGACUUCAACACGGGAAAACUCACCUGGCCCGCGACACCCGUAAGGAUUGACAGAUGUGAGAGCUCUUUUUUCUUGAUUCGGUGGGUUGGGUGGUGCAUGGCCCGUUCUUAGUUGGUGGAGUGAUUUGUUCUGGUUUAAUUCCGAUAACGAGCGAAACUCUAGCCUAUUAAAUAUCAUCGAUAAACCAAGUCCGGAAAGACUUCUUUAGAGGGCACAAGCGGUAUAACAGCCGCAUUUGAAAGUUGAGCAAUAAACAGGUCCUGUUGAUGCCCUUAGGAUGUCCAGGGCUUGCACCGCGCUACACUUGGAGGAGAUCAGCGUGCUGUAACCAUUGCCGAAAGGUAUUGGUAACCCUUGAAAUGCCUCACGUGAUCGGGAUCCGGGGAAUUGCCAAUUAAUUUCCCUUGAACGAGGAAUUGCCUAGUAAGUGUGAGUACAUUUCACUCACUUGAUUACGUCCCUGCCCUUUGUACAACACCGCCUCGUCGCUGCCGGGACUGAGCCGUUCUCGAGAAAAGCGGGGGACCUGCUGUUUCGAGACCUUCGACGGUUGGAGAUUCUUUGUUGGAAAACCGCCUUAAUCGGCAGUGGCUUGAACCGGGCAAAAGUCGUAACAAGGUUUCCGGCAGUGAACCCAUGCGGA